rnacentral:lncRNA from 1 species
UUAAAACAAGGAGAGGAACCGAGAUGAUGAUAAUGAUCUCGAUACCGGAGAUGAUGAUAAUGAUCAAACACGAAACGAAAACUCGAAAACACGACUCGAAAACUCAACAGAGACGAUGGGUGAUCGGAAGUAUGGUGUAGACGAUGAUCGUGACUGCGGUGGUUGUUGUUGCAGGUUGAUAAGGCGAACAACGGUUGAACGGAGAAGACGGUUGAACUGAUGGCCCGGAGUUGAUGAUCGAUGGAGACGACAAGAUGAUGCUGUUUGAGGUGGUUGAUGGUGAUUACGAUGGUGAAGGAAGCAAGAUGUAAUGGCGGUGAAGUCGGAGAAGAAGGUGAGGUCGGAGAAGAAGACCGGAGUCGAUGUUUGGAUGGGUUUCGAUUGAAGAGUGACCGGAGAUGAUGACAGUUAUACGAUGAUCGGUGAUGGCGGUUGCCGGUAAUGACAGUGAAGAUGAUAGCCGGAGGUCGAUAACAAGUGACGGAGGUGGCCGGAGGUUGUCAACAGGUGACUGAACGGCGAUAGUGAUCGGAAUAAGCAAACAGUUGCAGGUUAUGACUUGUGAUUGACGGUGUCCGAUGAAGUUGAUUCGAAAUCUCGGUUGCGACUCGUAACCGUAGUUGCGACUCGAGAACUCGGUUGCGACUCGGAAUCGUGAUGGUUGCGACUCAAACAGGAUUUGUCGAAACCGUGAUUGCGACUUUGAGAAGACGAUCAGUUUUUUUGAAGGAUGGUUGCGAGUUAGACCAGCUUUUUGAAGGAUGGUUGCGACUUAGACCAGCCUUUUGAAGGAUGGUUGCGACUUUGAAAAGACGAUCAGUGGUUGCGACUCGUAAUAUGUGAUGAAUGAUGGAUGAGCUUUAAACUAAUCGAAAGAAUCAAGUCAACAAAUCUCGAAAAAAAAAUGAAAAUUGAUUUAUUUAUUUAUUUUUUUUUUUAAAAAAAACCUUUAGAGCUCAACAAACAUUCGAAAUUACAGGAAACACAAUCUUGUGAAAUCUCUGAAAAUUUGAAGUUUUUUUUUUUAAUUUUUUUUUUUAACAAAAAAAUGAAAACCAAUCGUUUUAACAAUUUUAAACAAAUCAAAACACCAAAAUAGGAUGAUUUUCGAUAAAAAGCCGAUGAAAAAACGAAGAACGCGAAGAACACGAAGAACACCGAACCAAAAAUAACGAAAAUCUUGAAUCUUUGAUAUCACACCGAGCCUAGAAAUAUGUUCUAAAGGCUCUGAUACCACUUGUAAGUCCCGUUUAACCGGAUCUUUCAAUGAUAUCAACCAAUCUUGUGAGAGUGCGGAAUCCAAUCACAAGAUGAUUCAAGAUA